UGGUUCCGGCAUCGAUGAAGAACGCAGCGAAAUGCGAUAAGUAAUGUGAAUUGCAGAGUUCAGUGAAUCAUCGAGUCUUUGAACGCACAUUGCGCCCCUCGGUAUUCCGACGGGCAUGCCUGUCCGAGCGUCGUCUCGAACCUCGAGCGCUGCGGGCGGCGCUCGGUGUUGGGCGGUCAGGCCCCGCGUGGCCUCCCCCAAAAGACAGCGGCGGUGCGACCUGGGGUCCCCAGUGCAGUGACAGGUAACAUCGUAAACCUCGCUGGUAUGGAUCGCCCGGGCGCCCCGGCCACACAACGACGGACGAUCCGUCCUCACCGAAAAAAGAAUUAUAUUGUUUUUUCCACCGACGAACCGACCUCGGAUCAGGCAGGGAUACCCGCUGA
rnacentral:misc_RNA from 1 species